GAUGAACGCUAGCGGCAGGCUUAAUACAUGCAAGUCAAGGGGGUAGCAAUACAACCGGCGCACGGGUGAGUAACGCGUACACAACAUACCAUAUACUGGAGUAUAGCUUUGGGAAACUGAAGGUAAUCCUCCAUAACAUUGCGAGAGGGCAUCUGAUUGCAAUUAAAGUUUCGGCGGUAUAUGAUUGGUGUGCGUUUGAUUAGCUAGUUGGUAGGGUAACGGCCUACCAAGGCGACGAUCAAUAGCUGGCGUGAGAGCGCGACCAGCCACACUGGAACUGAGACACGGUCCAGACUCCUACGGGAGGCAGCAGUAGGGAAUAUUGGACAAUGGAGGAAACUCUGAUCCAGCCAUGCCGCGUGAUAGAUGAAGGCCCUCUGGGUUGUAAAUAUCUUUUAUCUGGGAAGAAACACUCCUAUUCUUAGGAACUUGACGGUACCAGAGGAAUAAGCACCGGCUAACUCCGUGCCAGCAGCCGCGGUAAAGUA
rnacentral:rRNA from 1 species